rnacentral:rRNA from 1 species
AUUGAACGCUGGCGGCAUGCUUUACACAUGCAAGUCGAACGGUAACAGGCCGCAAGGUGCUGACGAGUGGCGAACGGGUGAGUAAUGCAUCGGAACGUGCCCAGUCGUGGGGGAUAACGCAGCGAAAGCUGUGCUAAUACCGCAUACGAUCUAUGGAUGAAAGCGGGGGACCGUAAGGCAUCGCGCGAUUGGAGCGGACGAUGUACGAUUAGGUAGUUGGUGUGGUAAAGGCGCACCAAGCCAACGAUCUGUAGCUGGUCUGAGAGGACGACCAGCCACACUGGGACUGAGACACGGCCCAGACUCCUACGGGAGGCAGCAGUGGGGAAUUUUGGACAAUGGGCGCAAGCCUGAUCCAGCAAUGCCGCGUGCAGGAAGAAGGCCUUCGGGUUGUAAACUGCUUUUGUACGGAACGAAAAGGUUUGGGUUAAUACCCUGGGCCGAUGACGGUACCGUAAGAAUAAGCACCGGCUAACUACGUGCCAGCCGCCGCGGUAA